rnacentral:tRNA from 1 species
GCCGACGUCGCAUAACCCGGUAGUGCGGUGGUCUCGAAAACCACUUUCCGCAAGGAUCUCUCGGUUCAAAUCCGAGCGUCGGCG